GACGAACGCUGGCGGCGUGCCUAAUACAUGCAAGUCGAACGCAGUGGGGACGGGUGAGUAACACGUGGGUAACCUCCCAUCAGAGGGGAUAACACUUGGAAACAGGUGCUAAACCGAUACUGAUGGAUGGACCCGCGGUGCAUUAGCUAGUUGGUGAGGUAACGGCUCACCAAGGCCACGAUGCAUAGCCGACCUGAGAGGGUGAUCGGCCACACUGGGACUGAGACACGGCCCAGACUCCUACGGUAGGCAGCAGUAGGGAAUCUUGGGCAAUGGAGGAAAGCCUGAUCGAGCAACGCCGCGUGUAUGAAGAAGGUCUUCGGGUUGUAAAGUACUGUUGUCAGAGAAGCGGUAUCUGAAGAGUAAGCACCGGCUAACUACGUGCCAGCAGCCGCGGUAAUAC
rnacentral:rRNA from 1 species